UAGUCCACGCCCUAAACGAUGUAUGCUAGACGUCGGGAGACUUGUCUUUCGGUGUCGCCGCUAACGCAUUAAGCAUACCGCCUGGGGAGUACGGUCGCAAGAUUAAAACUCAAAGGAAUUGACGGGGCCCACACAAGCGGUGGACUAUGGGGUUUAAUUCGUCAAUAAGCGAGUAACCUUACCAGGACUUGACAUCCUUAUCGUACCUUUCAGAAAUGAUUGGGUCAGUUCGGCUGGAUAAGUGACAGGCGUUGCAUGGUUGUCGUCAGCUCGUGCUUUGAGGUGUUCGGUUAAGUCCGUUAACGAGCGCAACCCUCGUCGUGUGUUGUAUUUUCACGUCGAGACUGCCGGCCAUAAGCCGGAGGAAGGUGAGGACGACGUCAAAUCAGCAUGACCCUUAUGUCCUGGGGCUACACCCGUGGUACAAUGGGCAAGUACAAACCGAAGCAAUACAGCGAUGUGGAGCAAAAUCGGACAAAACUUGUCUCAGUUCGGAUCGGAGUCUGCAACCCGACUCCGUGAAGGUGGAA
rnacentral:rRNA from 1 species